rnacentral:rRNA from 1 species
GUAUGGUAUUGGCUUACCGUGGCAGUGACGGUUAACGGGGGAUUAGGGUUCGAUUCCGGAGAGGGAGCCUGAGAAACGGCUACCACAUCUAAGGAAGGCAGCAGGCGCGCAAAUUACCCAAUUCUAACAGUUUGAGAGAGGUAGUAACAAGAAAUAACAAUACAAGGCAAUUAAAAUGCUUUGUAAUUGGAAUGAUAGAAAUUUAAACCCUUUUUAAAGUAUCAAUUGGAGGGCAAGUCUGGUGCCAGCAGCCGCGGUAAUUCCAGCUCCAAUAGCGUAUAUUAAAAUUGUUGCAGUUAAAAAGCUCGUAGUUGAAGUUCUGCUAAAAGUAACCGGUCUGCUUUUAAUAAAAGUGGUAUCUUGGUGUGUAUUUAGCAAUGAUGUCCUUUGAAGUGUUUUUUACUUUA